CAGUAGCCGCGGUAAUACGGAGGGUGCAAGCGUUAAUCGGAAUUACUGGGCGUAAAGCGCACGCAGGCGGUCUGACAAGUCAGAUGUGAAAUCCCCGGGCUUAACCUGGGAACUGCAUUUGAAACUGUCAGGCUGGAGUCUUCUAGAGGGGGGUGGAAUUCCAGGUGUAGCGGUGAAAUGCGUAGAGAUCUGGAGGAAUACCGGUGGCGAAGGCGGCCCCCUGGACAAAGACUGACGCUCAGGUGCGAAAGCGUGGGGAGCAAACAGGAUUAGAGACCCGUGUAGUCCCUGUCUCUUAUAC
rnacentral:rRNA from 1 species